AUGUACCUCAUCUAUCACUGCCUAUUUCUAGGAGACUCACCCGUUUCCCCCACCACACACACAGAUGGAAGGGGAGUGAGAAUUCAAUCUUUCCUUGCCUCACAGUCAUCUGCAGAAAUGCAUUCGUUCACCCUUCGUGGCAGGGCCCCAAAACCUGCCAAUAAUCGUCCACCAGGGCGGGAAAGAAUCACUGCAGGUUUGUCAUCAAGUCUCCAGGUUGCCAUGACAACAAAUUGGGAUGUCAUGCUGGCAUUUCACCCUUGUCUUACCACAUGCGAACGGCAACUUCACGGCCAUACCAAUUCCAGAUUUCACAGGAAAGAUUGUCAGCAGUGGGAAGUGAGGGAGCAUAGGUGUGUGUGUGUGCGUGUGUGUGUGUGUGUGUGUGUGUGUGUGUGUGUGUGUGUGUACAUGGCAGGUUGACUGACCUUGGGAGACUGUCCCCUUACAGGGUUUAGGGAGAGGGAGAGAUGGAUUCAGUAAGCGGGAUGCUGUGUAGCAGGUAUCCAGUCUCCCAGCCACACAUGGCGAGUGCCACAGCUGCAGUCAGCUGAAACCGACGUGGCCUCUUUGUGACGGCGAGGCGCUGCCCUCUGACACAAACAACACUCCGGUGUACAGCUACAGGUAUCUCUGUGGACAGGACAUUAGUUAAAAGGCUCAAAGAUGAAGGGCCCAGAAAACUUUAAAAAAAAGAAUCAACAAAAGCCAGUAUCAAGGAAAUAAUGAGAACGUUUCCAGAAUAUCAUAAAAACAAAGACUGGCGAGUUUAAUUUCUGCCGUUUGUUUCACUGAAGGAAUCUUCUACAGCUGAAACUUUGAAGGUAACAAUGUAACAAACCUUGAAAUGUUGAAACCUUUCAAAAUGAUAAUGUUCCUCAAAAUCAGCUAGUUAAUAAAGUUAUUGUCAGUUUAAAGAUCUCUGCACAUGUUCCCAUUAUUCUAUUAGAUUUUCAGGCUAUGUAAUGGAGCAUUUUGACAAGUUAUCCCAUCAUACCUCAUACAUUUCUACAAUAUCUCCUCGAAAUUACACUUGUAUACUACUAAAUUGUUUUCCCAAAUAUGUUCAGAUGGAAACGUAAUUGCUGCCUCGAUUAUAUUCACUGACAAUGUUUUUCCAGGGAGUGGAGUGCCAAGGUAUUGUACCGCACACAUUUCUGUCAGGGGAGGUUAGGUAGGGGGGGUAAAACACGUCUUGUCUCGCACUUCAAGUAAUUGUUGCUUUUUUCAAUAUUUACUAAAUUGGCCUGAAUAUAAGAGAGUAUUAUAUUCUGGAAAUUACAGUGGGAAAAGUGUUGUGCGUGUGGACUAGCCAAUUACGCACUGAGGACGCUAGAUAUUCUUUUUGAAUGGAGAAAAUACUAUGACAGAGAGUGUUGCAUUAUGGGUUGUUUGCAGACUUAAUGUUGCUGGGAUAUUGAGUGCCUUCAAGUCAGUUUACGAAGUCUCUUUAAGAGUAAGCCCAAUUUAACUUAUGGGUCUUGCCAACGAAUGCAUCUCCCAAUCUUUACUGCAGAGAUGGGACAGAAUUAUCCACCAAUCAGCCAAGAAAUACGGAGAAAACCAUUCCGACCGCUUGAGAGACUGCGUGAGGGUGUGACAAGCUACACAAAUGUGGGAUUUAUGUUUUAUUUCAUGCUGAGAACAGGCUUUAAAGAUGUUGUCUCUAUGUUCUUCUUGGAAUAAUAUUAUUUUGAAGAUUUUUUUUUUUAACAGGAGUCAUGUGAAAGUGUUUCUUACCUUCAGAAAGCCUUUUUCUAAAAAGAAGUGUUGGAUCAUGAUCUUUCCCCUAUUGUUAUAAAAAGGUUAGUUGCUAUAAGUGGAAAACCUGUAAUAAAAUCAAAUGAAAUGCAUGGUCAUUGAGCAUUUUACAGAAUAUUUGUCAUUUUGCAAUUUUGCAGAUAUGUUAAUUCAAACAUUUCAUCAUUAUGUUGAUUAAAAACAUAAUUUAGGCAGCUCAAAACAUUAUUUUAUGUUGUAAAUUAGUAGUAUGAAUAUAAUUAUUACAAGUUUUCACUGUAAAUGUCAUUGUGUUUAAAUAAUAUCAGUCCCUAAAGGACUUAGUAAUGGAAAGUAAAAGUUUUGUGAGGGAGCAGUUGUACUCUUAACAUUAAGAAUUACACAUCCAGAAUUCACAAAUUUUCACUGGGACUCCCUAAAAAAUAAAUAAAUCUGUGUCAAAGACUUCUGUGCCAUCUC
rnacentral:lncRNA from 15 species